UACGAAGGGGGCUAGCGUUGCUCGGAAUCACUGGGCGUAAAGCGCACGUAGGCGGGUCUUAAGUCAGGGGUGAAAUCCUGGAGCUCAACUCCAGAACUGCCUUUGAUACUGAGGAUCUCGAGUCCGGGAGAGGUGAGUGGAACUCCGAGUGUAGAGGUGAAAUUCGUAGAUAUUGGAAGAACACCAGUGGCGAAGGCGGCUCACUGGCCCGGUACUGACGCUGAUGUGCGAAAGCGUGGGGAGCAAACAGGG
rnacentral:rRNA from 1 species